rnacentral:rRNA from 1 species
UACGGAGGGUGCGAGCGUUAAUCGGAAUCACUGGGCGUAAAGCGCGCGUAGGCGGCUUUUCAAGUCAGGGGUGAAAUCCCACGGCCCAACCGUGGAACUGCCUUUGAAACUGUAGAGCUUGAGUGUCGGAGAGGGUGGCGGAAUUCCAGGUGUAGGAGUGAAAUCUGUAGAUAUCUGGAGGAACACCGGUGGCGAAGGCGGCCACCUGGACGACAACUGACGCUGAGGCUCGAAAGCGUGGGGAGCAAACAGG